CGUUCCCGGGCCUUGUACACACCGCCCGUCAAGCCACGAAAGUCGGGGGUACCCGAAGUCCGCUUCUCAACCGCAAGGAUAGAGCGGCCGAAGGUAAACUCGAUGAUUGGGGCU
rnacentral:rRNA from 1 species